rnacentral:rRNA from 1 species
AACGAACGCUGGCGGCAGGCUUAACACAUGCAAGUCGAACGGUUGUAGCAAUACAGCAGUGGCAGACGGGUGAGUAACACGUGGGAACCAUCCUAGGGGUACGGAACAACUCAGGGAAACUUGAGCUAAUACCGUAUACGUCCGUAAGGAGAAAGAUUUAUCGCCCUUAGACGGGCCCGCGUUCGGAAUUAGCUAGUUGGUGGGGUAACGGCCUACCAAGGCGACGAUCCGUAGCUGAUCUGAGAGGAUGAUCAGCCACACUGGGACUGAGACACGGCCCAGACUCCUACGGGUGGCUG